UACGAAGGGGGCUAGCGUUGCUCGGAAUCACUGGGCGUAAAGCGCACGUAGGCGGAUUGUUAAGUCAGGGGUGAAAUCCUGGAGCUCAACUCCAGAACUGCCUUUGAUACUGGCGAUCUCGAGUCCGGGAGAGGUGAGUGGAAUUCCACGUGUAGCGGUGAAAUGCGUAGAGAUGUGGAAGAACACCAGUGGCGAAGGCGACUCUUUGGCCUGUAACUGACGCUGAGGCGCGAAAGCGUGGGGAGCAAACAGG
rnacentral:rRNA from 1 species